UGUAGCGCGAAUGGUAGCGAAUGGUACAACGAUAAGUAUGGGUGCAUAUUGUAGUAAUGAUAAAUAUCACUGCUUUCACAUGCAGAUUCGUUAUUAAUAAAACACAGCUGGAUGCAACACGUUUACGAUCUACUCGUGCAUAAUUACAACUUCAUUUCAGCACGCACGUUUAUAACGCCGAUUCAAACAUUGUGUUUAUUCUUAUACGGAAACAACGAUCACUAUCGAAGGAAUGACUGUGAAACGGAGUAUAUAAAAAAUACAAUAACCCAUACGCGAGGAAAGACUACUAAAAGAAGCAUAACCAAAAAGAGCGUGUAAACCCAUGGACGAUCGUUCAAACCUGGCCUUGAUGAUGUUUAUUCGCAGUCGACCUACAUAUUUUUCAUGAAAAAAAAAAGAAGAAAAUCAAAUACAGUAGGUAUUUGUUUAUGGAAGCUUUCGAAGUUAACCAGGAGAGAUUCAUGAAUUUUGGCACACAACGGGCCGAAUUAUUUUUAUCUGUACGUUACAAGAAAGGGUUCAAGUGUACAGUGUGAAAACACGAUACACAAACGCUUCUGGUCGGUGUGCAUUAAUAGAUCAAUUACAUCAUAUGUUUGACAACGAAAAACAAUAGAGAUCGAUGCCAUGAAAAAUCGAACAGCAAGAAUUAAAUUUGCAAAACUAAAUUGGUCGGACACCUGUUGCAUACGAUUGCGAUAAUCGACGAUUGCCUUUCAUUUACAACAUUUAGUAGUGUAAACGAGAUUGCACUGCUUACUCUGUCACGUGGAUGAUCACAUGAAAGAUGUUACGCAGUGUGGAGCAUAAUUUAAGUAGAUUUUUAUUUAA